rnacentral:ncRNA from 1 species
CGCGAGCCGCGGGGCAGUACGAAACCCCGUAAGGCGAAAUGAAGGUGAACGCCGGCGCGGUCCGGCGGAGGUUGGAUCCCGUCCCGUCGGGGCGGGCGCACUACCGGCCGAUCUUAUCCGCCCUGUCGGCGAGGUCGAGCGAGAGCGUGCAAGUCGGGACCCGAAAGAUGGUGAACUAUGCCUGAGGAGGUUGAAGCCAGAGGAAACUCUGGUGGAGGACCGUAGCGAUUCUGACGUGCAAAUCGAUCGUCAAAUUUGGGUAUAGGGGCGAAAGACUAAUCGAACCGUCUAGUAGCUGGUUCCCUUCGAAGUUUCCCUCAGGAUAGCUGGCGCUCUGUCGCAGUUUUAUCUGGUAAAGCGAAUGAUUAGAGGUCUUGGGGGCGAAACGCCCUCAACCUAUUCUCAAACUUUAAAUUGGUAAGAAGCCCGACUCGCUCGUUUGGAGCCGGGCAUGGAAUGCGAGUGCCAAGUGGGCCACUCUUGGUAAGCAGGACUGGCGAUGCGGGAUGAACCGAACGCCGGGUUAAGGCGCCCGACGCGACGCUCAUCAGAGCCCACAAAAGGUGUUGGUUGAUAUAGACAGCAGGACGGUGGCCAUGGAAGUCGGAAACCGCUAAGGAGUGUGUAACAACUCACCUGCCGAAUCAAUCAGCCCUGAAAAUGGAUGGCGCUGGAGCGUCGGGCCUAUACCCGGCCGUCGCGGCGGUACGAGCAUCGAGUUGGUGCG